rnacentral:rRNA from 1 species
GACGAACGCUGGCGGCGUGCCUAAUACAUGCAAGUCGAGCGAUGAAGCUUGGUGCUUGCACCAAUUUGAAGAGCAGCGAACGGGUGAGUAACGCGUGGGGAAUCUGCCUUUGAGCGGGGGACAACAUUUGGAAACGAAUGCUAAUACCGCAUAACAACUUUAAACAUAAGUUUUAAGUUUGAAAGAUGCAAUUGCAUCACUCAAAGAUGAUCCCGCGUUGUAUUAGCUAGUUGGUGAGGUAAAGGCUCACCAAGGCGAUGAUACAUAGCCGACCUGAGAGGGUGAUCGGCCACAUUGGGACUGGGACACGGCCCAAACUCCUACGGGGGGCAGCAGUAGGGAAUCUUCGGCAAUGGACGAAAGUCUGACCGAGCAACGCCGCGUGAGUGAAGAAGGUUUUCGGAUCGUAAAGAUCUGUUGGUAGAGAAGAACGUUGGUGAGAGUGGAAAGCUCAUCAAGUGACGGUAACUACCCAGAAAGGGACGGCUAACUACGUG